CAGCCGCCACGGGAAUACGGAGGGUGCAAGCGUUAAUCGGAAUUACUGGGCGUAAAGCGCACGCAGGCGGUCUGUCAAGUCAGAUGUGAAAUCCCCGGGCUUAACCUGGGAACUGCAUUUGAAACUGGCAGGCUAGAGUCUUGUAGAGGGGGGUAGAAUUCCAGGUGUAGCGGUGAAAUGCGUAGAGAUCUGGAGGAAUACCGGUGGCGAAGGCGGCCCCCUGGACAAAGACUGACGCUCAGGUGCGAAAGCGUGGGGAGCAAACAGGAUUAGAUACCCGAGUAGUCCCUGUCUCUUAUAC
rnacentral:rRNA from 1 species